CCCUUUGUGUGUAGCUGGCGAUGAGCAAGGCAAAGCGAAGUGGAACUCUAAGGAAGAGUCCUGCCAAUUGAAAGUCUUAAGGUUCUCUUUGGUUAUUGACCUUGGGAAGUUUCAGCAAACAAAUGAUAACAAGGGGAUUUGUGGCUCCACAUCACUUGCAAAGAAAAAUCCCAGAGUCACCCAAUUAACAAGAAGAUCUUCUGUUGCUGCCCAUGCAAAAGCCAAGUUAGUUCAAUAAAUAAAAAUAAAAAAGAACUAAAGAAAGAAAAUAAGAGGAUGAUGCAUGAGAAUGCUAUCACGUGGAGGACAAAAUAAGAGAAUGAAUUCUCUCUAAUUGGCAGCAGAGGUCAAGCAAAGUCUAUGGUUUGAUAAAGAAGAGUUCUUUGGCUUAGUUUACUGUGGUGCGAAUGUAAAAAAGACGCAUAAUCCUAUUCGGAAAAGGGCCUAUUCUUCUUGUGCAUUUUUUGUUUAGUUGCAAAGAGACAAAACAAAAGGAAGGCAGCCAAAAGAAAAAAAAAUAAAAAAAGGGCUGUGUCAGACAGCCCCUCCCUCUCUUGAAUGAUUCUCUUGGUCUACUUUGACUGAAAAUUGAGUAAAGGAAAAGAGAUUGGCAGUAAGGAAAUGAUUGCUACAGUAGACGAAAAGAAAAGAAAAUUAGGCUAACCAAAUACUCAACCUUGUUGUAAAGUAUAAAGUAGUGGAGCCCACUUACUAUUUGUUUGUAGACUUUGGUGCAUGAUUGUAUUGUAGAUUCACAGGUGGAUUGUAGAUUCACGGG
rnacentral:lncRNA from 1 species